rnacentral:lncRNA from 1 species
UCUCUUGAAUACUAUAUAUAGAGAUCAUUUCCUUCAUUUGUACACAAAGAUAAAAGAAUAAAAUCAGUAGAAGCAAAUUGAGUUUUAGAAAGUAAGUGAGUUUCAAGAGAACAACAUUCUUCUCUUGUGUGUUAUUGAGUUUUCUAAGAGAACAAAUUUCUUCUCUUAAAAGUUUGUGAGAUUUAGAGUAAAUUUAGAGUGGGCUCGUCAACGCCUCCAACAAAGUGGUAUCAGAGCAAGGAUUGAAAGAUGUCAUCUAACAUGUUGCAGCCUCAACUUCCUCGUUUUGAGGGAAAAACUAUAGUCGGUGGAGCCAGCAAAUGAAGGUUCUUUAUGGAUCUCAAGAUCUUUGGGAUAUUGUUGACAUCGGAUAUUCAGAGCCAGAAAGUGAGAAUGGUCUUUCAGCACAACAACUCAAUGAGUUGAGAGAUGCUAGAAAAAAAGGAUAAGAAGGCAUUAUUUUUCAUCUACCAAUCUGUGGAUGAAAAUAUGUUUGAAAGAAUAUCAGGAGUCUCUACUGCUAAAGCAACAUGGGAUGCAUUGCAAAAUUUGUAUGAAGGAGAAGAAAAGGUAAAAUUGGUCCGAUUACAAACACUUCGAGCUGAAUUUGAUACAAUUCGAAUGAAAGAUUCUGAAACUAUUGAAGAAUUUUUCAAUCGUGUUCUCUUAAUUGUUAAUCAAUUGAGAUCAAAUGGAGAAACAAUUGAAGAUCAAAGGAUUGUUGAGAAGAUUCUUAGAAGCAUGACUAGAAGAUAUGAGCAUAUUGUUGUAGCAAUUGAAGAAUCCAAAGAUUUGUCAACUCUCUCUAUAAAUAGCUUAAUGGGAUCUCUUCAAUCUCAUGAGCUCAGAUUGAAGAUGUUUGAUUCUAAUCCUUCAGAAGAAGCUUUUCAUAUGCAGUUCUCCUAUAGAGGUCGAUCUAAUGGAAGAAGAGGUGGACGUGGUGGUAGAGGCAAUGGACGAUCCAACGUUGUAACAAAUACAUAGUCAGAAAGCAGAGACAAUCAAUUUCUUUCAAAUAGAGGACGAGGAAGAAGUUCAAAUAGAGGAAGAGGUAGAAGUGGUGGUCGUGGAGAUUUUUCUCACAUACAAUGAUUCAAUUGUAGACGUUAUGGACAUUUUCAAGCAGACUGUUGAUCUAAGAAGACUAAUUCUAAUCAAGCAGAAACCACACUAAUGCAUGAGCAAUCAAAUAAUGAUCAAGGUCUUCUCUUCCUCACUCUAAAUGUUCAAGAAUCAAGCACUGAAGAAAUAUGGUAUCUUGAUAGUGGUUGUAGUAACCACAUGACAGGAAGAAAGGAUAUUUUUAUAUCUUUAGAUGAAUCUCAUCAAAAUGUAGUGAAGACUGGUGUCAACAAGAUGCUUGAAGUCAAAGGAAAAGGAGAUAUUCUUGUCAAGACAAAAAUGGGAGCAAAAAAAAUUACUGAUGUGUAUUAUGUUUCAGGUCUCAAACACAAUCUUUUAAGUGUUGGACAACUUCUCCUAAGAGGACAUGAUGUUAUUUUUAAAGAUAACAUAUGUGAGAUUAGAACCAAGAGUGGAGAUCUCAUAACGAAGGUUCGUAUGACUCACAACAAAAUGUUUCCAAUUAAAAUAUGUUAUGAGAAGCUUGUUUGUUUUGAGACUUUAGUAAAUGACACCUCAUGGUUAUGGCAUUGUCGAUUUGGGCACCUAAGUUUUGACACUUUGUCUCACAUGUGUCAACAACAUAUGGUGAGAGGAAUGUCAAAUAUUAAAAAGGAAGAUCAACUCUGUGAAGCAUGUGUUUUCGGAAAGCAUCAUCGAAAUUCAUUUCCAACUGGAGGUUCUUGGAGAGCAUCAAAACCACUCGAGCUUGUUCAUACAGACUUAUGUGGACCUAUGAGAACUACUACACAUGGAGGUAACCGUUAUUUUCUCACAUUUAUUGAUGACUACAGUCGAAAAACAUGGAUUUAUCUACUAAAAGAAAAGAGUGCUACUUUCGAAUGUUUCAAGACAUUCAAAGCAAUGGUGGAAAAUGAAAGUAACUUGAAAUUGAAAUCAUUGCGUUCGGAUCGUGGAGGAGAAUAUAUUGUUUUUGCAGAUUUCUUGAAGGAAAAUGGAAUCAAGCAUCAGAAGACUGUUCGAAGAACUCCUCAACAAAACGAAGUUGCAGAGAGGAAAAAUAGAAUAAUAAUGGAACUUGCAAGAAGUAUGUUGAAGGCAAAGAAGCUUCCUGAUCAAUUUUGGGGAGACGCAGUAACUUGUGCUGUUUAUCUCCUAAAUAGAGCUUCAACGAAAAGUGUGCAAGGUAUUACUCCUCAAGAAGCAUGGAGCGGAUUGAAACCAACCGUUAGUCACCUAAGAGUAUUUGGGUGCAUUGCUUAUUCUCACAUUUCAGAUGAGAAAAGAGGUAAGCUAGAUGAUAAAUCAGAGAAAUGCAUUUUUGUUGGGUACAGUGAGAACUCUAAGGCCUACAGACUAUACAAUCCGAUAAGUAAGAAAGUUAUUAUUAGUCGAGAUGUCAAGUUCGAUGAAGCAAAAUUGUGGCAAUGGAAUGCACCAAAUGAAGACCAAAAUCUAUUACAUGUUGAUAUGGAUGGAAAAAAAGAUGCUCGAGACUUGGAGCUUGAAGUAACUCAACCACUGACUUCACCUUCUUCAUCACACUCCACAAGUGAUGAAGAAAGUACUCCAAGGAAGACCAGAAAUAUUCAAGAGAUCUAUAAUACUUCAAGAAGGAUACUAGAUGAAGAACAUGUUGAUUUUGCUUUAUUUGCAAAUGUUGAUCCUGUAUACUUUGAAGAAGCAAUUCAAGAUGAAAAUUGGAAAGAUGCAAUGAAUCAAGAAAUUGAUGCAAUAAGAAGAAACGAGACAUGGAAGUUAGUAAAAUUACCAGAAAAUAAAAAGGCUCUUGGAGUCAAAUGGAUCUAUAGAACAAAGCUAAUGCAAAACGGAGAAGUGCAAAAAUACAAAGCCAGACUCAUUGUAAAAGGUUACAAACAAAAGUUUGGUGUGGAUUAUGAAGAAGUUUUUGCACCGGUAACUCGCUUGGAGACUGUUCGUUUGUUGUUAGCCCUUGCAGCAAAAAAUAACUGGAAAGUUCAUCAAAUGGAUGUAAAGUCAGCAUUCCUAAAUGGGUAUUUAGAGGAUGAAAUAUAUGUUGAGCAACCCCCCGGUUAUGCAAAGAUUGGAGAAGUAAAUAAGGUGUGUCGAUUAAAGAAAGCCUUGUAUGGGCUAAAGCAAGCACCAAGGGCUUGGUACAGUCGCAUCGACAAUUUUUUCUUAAAGGAUGGUUUCAGAAGAUGUCCAUAUGAACAUGCUCUCUACACCAAAGAACAUGAAAAUGGUAAUUUCUUGAUAGUUUGUCUAUAUGUUGAUGAUUUAAUAUUUACAGGCAACUCAAAUAUGAUGAUUGAAGAAUUCAAAGAGAGCAUGAAAAAGGAAUUUGAGAUGACUGAUAUGGGUUUACUUCAUUAUUUUCUUGGUAUUGAAGUUAAACAAGGUGAUAAUGAGAUUGCAAUUUUCCAAAAGAAGUAUGCAAAAGAUUUGUUGAAAAAGUUCAAAAUGGAGAAUGCUUAUCCUGCCUGUACUCCUAUGGAAUUGGGUUUAAAGUUAAGUAAGCAUGAUGUUAGUGAAGCUUUUGAUGCCACCAUUUAUAGAAGUUUGGUUGGAAGUUUAAUGUAUUUAACUACAACUAGACCUGAUAUUAUGUUCUCGGUCAGUUUAUUGAGUAGAUUUAUGACAUCACCAAAGAGAAGUCAUUGGGAAGCUGGAAAGAGAGUUCUUAGAUACAUUCUUGGAACUGUUGAUCAUGGAAUCCACUAUAAAAGGAAUGUAGAUAAUGUUCUUGUUGGCUACAGUGAUAGUGAUUGGGGAGGAAAUAUUGAUGAUUUCAAAGUACUUCUGGGUAUGUAUUUAAUAUUGGUUCUGGAGCAGUUUCAUGGGCAUCAAAGAAGCAAGAUGUUGUAGCAUUGUCCACAACAGAAGCUGAAUACAUUUCUUUGUCUGUUGCUAGUUGUCAAGCACUUUGGCUAAGAAAUGUACUACAUGAAUUGAAGUGUCCUCAAGAGAAAGGGACCAUCAUGUUCUGUGACAAUCAAUCAUCUAUUUCACUUUCGAAGAAUCCCGUUUUUCAUGGAAGAAGCAAACACAUAAACAUCAAAUAUCAUUUCAUCAGAGAAUUGAUCAAAGAUGGAGAAGUAUAUAUCAGGUAUUGCAAGACUCAAGAUCAAGUUGCAGACGUAUUCACAAAAGCAUUAAAGACAGAUUCAUUCUUGAAAAUGAAAGAGAAGCUCGGAGUUUGGGAAGUCUAGCUUAAGGGGGCAUGUUAGAAAUUAAUAAGCUAGAUACAUUAUGGAUAACACAUUAAUAGAUACAUUUCUAGUUUCAAGAUACAUAUGCAUUUCUAGAUACAUGUAAUUAUUCAAGUACAUGAAUGGUAUGUAUUCAUGUACUUCAUUUAUUUUGUGUCUUUUAGGAAGUGUCUCUUGAAUACUAUAUAUAGAGAUCAUUUCCUUCAUUUGUACACAAAGAUAAAAGAAUAAAAUCAGUAGAAGCAAAUUGAGUUUUAGAAAGUAAGUGAGUUUCAAGAGAACAACAUUCUUCUCUUGUGUGUUAUUGAGUUUUCUAAGAGAACAAAUUUCUUCUCUUAAAAGUUUGUGAGAUUUAGAGUAAAUUUAGAGUGGGCUCGUCAACGCCUCCAACAC